GCCGAUAAAGGUAAACCCGGGGAAACCCGGGGACGCAAAACCACAGGCCUACAUUGUCUAAGACCUGGAAGGCCCAUGAGAUAACAGGGCAUAAAAGACUGGAUGAUGGGUCGAGGGGCAAUACGGUGGCUGGGUUGCCGAAG
rnacentral:ncRNA from 1 species